UCAGAGCCAGGGAAAUGCCUCUCUGUUGUAGGACAGGAAAGAGACAGGUCUCUGCCACUCUUCCAAGAAGUAAAUUGGAUUCUUAGUCAUAUAGAGUGUGUGCAGCUUGGAAGUGCUCCUGGUGGCAGAAGAGCAUUCAAAGGGAAUGGCUCUGAAGAAUGAAAGGGAAUCCUACAAGUGUGUGCUGAUGUCAGGAGUGGUUUUCCUCAUCAAAACUCUUGCACUGUGCCUGGAGAGGUGAGCCACAUAGGUAGCAGUGUGUAGAGGAUGCUUUGUGGAAAUUUUACUCUAUGGUGAUUAUUCCUUGAACAUUUGCACCCCAGAAAAAGCCAAAAAGCUACAAACCUCUGACAAAAGAAUUUUGGAGUCCAGCAUUUUAAGGCCAUUUAAAGACUGCAAUAGAGAGAACAGUGAUGCAUCUUGUUGCCACUAGUAGAUGAAACAAAAAAAAAAAGAGAGAAAACAAAGGAAUACAAGAGAGAAAUGGGAUCCUACUUCUGCCUACAAUAACUGGACUAAGAGACGCUGUAAGAUCAGUGAGGAAAUGACAAGUCAUGAAGUCUGAAGAUGCAAAAUAUGUCUUCACUGCUAUUUUCUUCAUGCAGAUAAUGGGAUACUCAGAGGUAUUUAACCAUCCUCUGUUACCAAAGAGUGGAUUAAAAUAGAAGUGCAUCAAAUAGAUUGAUCCUUCAGUGCUUUUUCGGGCUUUGUGUGUGCUUAUUUCCUGUGGCAGUGUUUGCCUGCUUCCAGGGAGUUGUUUGUAGAGACUUUAAACCAGGUGUAACAUUAGACCAAGAGAUCAAAUAGCAUCUUUGCCUUCCUAAGGUGCACUGGAAUGUGAUGAAACUGUGGAUUUGAAGCACUCUUAUAAUAGCAAAUGAUGAUAAAUUAGUUUAAAGACAACCUUUGAACAGGACUAGAAUUUCAGUGAACUACUGCAGAAACAGAAAUAACUCCUCUGCAAUUUCAUUUGGCUGUGUGAUGCACAAUAGAGAGGUUACAAAUGGUGUUAUUUACCACAAGGCUAUUUUUAAGUGCAUGUACUGAGCCUGCAAUGCAAAAUUUAUAGCUGGGUAGUACUACUGAGUGACUGAAGCUUGCACGCGCCCUAUAGGAGGCCAUAAAAUACCACGGAGUUUUAAUCUAGAAGAAAAAUUAUUUUAAAAAUGAGGAAAGGAACAGUGUGCCUCACAUGCCCUCUCAUGCUAUUUUUACUCUUACCGAGAUGGACUUUGCCAGCAUGAAAGUAUUAAGACUUGUCCUCAGAAUAACUUUUGAGCCAACCAGCAAAUAAAUCAUUACUUGAGGAGAAGCUAUUUGUGUGUGUGUGGGUAUGUGUGUUGUGUGUUUUUCAAGAAAAAAACAACAUGCUUGCACAGAAAGAUGUGACACGAUACU